GCCGUUUGGGCUUGUAAUAUCAUUUGGGUAUUGGGCUAGUGUUUAGGUGGGUAAUGGGUUAAGUUUAUUGGGUAAUGGGCCGGGCAAAUAUUGGGCUUGUACAGCUGCCCCUCUUUGCUCAUUGUCGUGUAACGAGAAUGAAACAAAGACUUCAAAAAGGCCAAUUUUGCCCGGUCUUGCCAAGUCUUGACUUGUUCUGAUGUUUCUCUUCUUUAAGUAACUUUAUUUCAGUCUAUUGUGUCUUGUCG
rnacentral:lncRNA from 1 species